rnacentral:rRNA from 1 species
CCCUUAGACGUUCUGGGUCGCACGCGCGCUACACUGACCGGUGCAACAAGCAUCCGUCCUUGGCCGACAGGCCCGGGCAAUCUUUGAACGCCGGUCGUGAUGGGGAUAGACUUUUGCAAUUUUUGGUCUUCAACGAGGAAUUCCUAGUAAACGCAAGUCAUCAACUUGCAUUGAUUACGUCCCUGCCCUUUGUACACACCGCCCGUCGCACCUACCGAUUGAAUGGUCCGGUGAAGCCUCCGGAUUGGCGCGCACCUCGGUGCCGCCGAGAAGUUGGCUAAACCUUACCAUUUAGAGGAAGGUGAAGUCGUAACA